rnacentral:lncRNA from 1 species
UGAUCCUCAAAUUAUUUGAUUGAAACUGACAUUCUUAUUGUGUUGAUCUUCUCUUGAAAGAGUAGUUUUCAAUUCUUUGAAGUAACUCUCUGGAUUGUGCGUGGAUCUCUUGCCAAGUACAGUGAUCAUUUUUCUGUGAAGAAAAUAUUAUUAAAAAGCUUAUUAGUUGUUUUGUAAAAGGUAACAUCCAUUACUAUGGAAAAUAUAAGUUGAGAAACAGCCUGCUUACCUUGGCCACCAACUUAUCCAUUUUUUUGAAGCAGUCCUUCACUAUGGAUUCAUGGAUAAUGUUAAGUCCAGACUUCAGCUGUUAUUUUUAAUGGAAAAGAAAAGAACCUAUUAAUCUGAACAGUGAGAAGUAAAUAGAAGUUCAGCAUGACUCAGUAAAACUGAUAGAAAUUGUUACGGCUGAAAGCACUGUAGUGCUUCUGUCAUAUGCAAGGGGUUAAUGCUAAAGGUAGCAUGUUGCACACAUUUGCUACGUCUAUGAAGAGAUCAGAAAAUGAAUUCAUCAGUGCUCAAAACAAGAAACUCCAUUAAGGAUGAGCUGGAAAUGGGCUGGAAGAAUUGCUUUCAUGCAGUGGCACACCCUCAGACAAGCACCUUCUUAUUUUGUGGACUGAAUGUGGACUGUGCAUAUAAAGUACAUGCAUGUGUUGAGUAAUAUGUAAAAUUACUUCUGUGCUUCUUUUAUAGGAUCUGCUUCUGGCUGAAGCCAAAGCUGUCAUGCCAUUUUGGUAGAUUUCAGAACACCAGACUAAUUCUAACUAACUUUCUGGUUUAAACAGCAGGCAGGACUAACAAAAAAGCAUCUAACCCUUUUCUGGUAAAUGUAGUAACAUAAAUAAUAGGAAAAACAAACAAACAAAAGCAAAAACCACCAAGAACUUCUUGCUCUUCAUUUUUGUUCACCUCAUACUUCCAAAUACCCCCUACAUUUUCAGGAAUGGUUUAUGAAAACAUUUGAGAAGUCAUUGCAACAAUACUGAUAGGACUGCAGAGUUUGAAAUUCAAAAGGAUGAAUUUGACCAGUUACUGGCUAAGUUGUUACUUAGCUUAGUCUGUAUGAUCUCUGCAGACUUGAGCAAAGGGCAAACCACAAAAGGAGAAAAAUUGGGCAAGGAAAUGUGCUUUUCAUAUAGCUAACUUCCAAAAAUACAUUCUGAGAUUAUUUGUGCCAAAAAAAAUACUUUGUGACUGUGGAAGUACUUUCCUUCCAGUAGGAUUAUGUUCUUGCAAAGUAAACUGUGGUUUUGGUUUUUUGGGUUUGGCUGAUGCCAACUAGCAGGUAGCCGUGGUUACUGUGGAUUCCAGUGUAUACGACUAGGUAUGUUUUUACCUAGCCAGUAAACUCUCGGUGAAAAGAGUCCAGAGUGAAAAGCCAAAAGUCAGAUUUGUCAUUUAAACCUGCAAAGUAUUAUGUCAU